rnacentral:rRNA from 1 species
CGGCCAGACUCCUACGGGAGGCAGCAGUGAGGAAUAUUGGUCAAUGGGCGAGAGCCUGAACCAGCCAAGUCGCGUGAGGGAGUACUGCCCUAUGGGUUGUAAACCUCUUUUGUCAGGGAACAAAGGCGGGGACGUGUCCUCGGAUGAGUGUACCUGAAGAAAAAGCAUCGGCUAACUCCGUGCCAGCAGCCGCGGUAAUACGUAUGGUGCAAGCGUUAUCCGGAUUUACUGGGUGUAAAGGGGGCGCAGGCGGCGCGUUAAGCCUGGUGUGAAAGCCCGCGGCCCAACCGCGGGACUGCAUUGGGAACUGGCGCGCUGGAGUGCCGGAGGGGUAGGCGGAAUUCCUAGUGUAGCGGUGAAAUGCGUAGAUAUUAGGAGGAACACCAGUGGCGAAGGCGGCCUACUGGACGGUGACUGACGCUGAGGCUCGAAAGCGUGGGGAGCAAACAGGAUUAGAUACCCCCGUA